rnacentral:lncRNA from 1 species
AAUUUUAAGAAAUUAUACUUAAUAUAGUUGAAUAUAAUUUCAGGACAUAAGCAUUGCUCAAAUUCACAGGCUAAUUUAUUUGUAAUAAUCUGAAGUAUCUUUAUUCUAGUGAUUGAAGCAGUAACACAUGUUUUUCAUUUGCACUAAUAGUUAAAUGUAUAAAACAGAAACUUAUUAGGUCUCUAUUAUUCAAGGUAGAUUUUAUGAGAUGACAUUGUCACAAAUGCAUGUCAAGUAUAGUACUUCAACAAUAGAAUGACUUUACUUUUUUCCCAGGGCAUUUUUAUGAAGUUCUGUCAAGAAUUUUGUCCAGUUUCCUUGCUGUGAAAAUAUUGACUGCAGAACUCUAAAACAUAUGCUUUUAAACAUUGUGCACUGUUAUCUUCAUAAACACUGAGAGGCUAGUUUGCUAUGAGGAAAUGAAUGUUAAAGAAUAUUUUAAAUUUAUUAAUCUUAAUCUUUUACAUGUUGCUAUUUUUAACUUAGCCUCUUAGUUCAUUUUCACUAUGCUAUUCAUAUUUCAGAGCCUACUACACACCUCAAUCCAAAAAUCUAGUAGCUAAUAAAGUAGGCAUGAAUCUGACCUCAUGUAAUGAAAGUCUAUUGAGGGGAAGCAAUAAGAAAGAACAAAUAAAAUUCCUGCUCAAGAAAGGGGCACAAUUCACUGCCUAAGUAUCUGAUAUCUGGAGUAGUGGACAGGGAAGAUGUUCAUGAGAACAAAAUAAUAUAUAGCUGGAAUUAAG